AAUAUAUUAUUAUCAAUUGUAAUUUUUAUUUUAUUUUUUUUUUUUUUCUUAUCCUUAUUGUCAUCGUUGUUGAUCAUUUUUGUUAACUUUUUGUUUUGUUAUAUUUACUGCGGUAUUACAUAAAAAUGAAAUUUUUCGAAAAUAAUUGCCUUGUAAUUAUUGCAUAGUAGUUUCAAUAAUCUUGAAUUUAUAAAUCAAACACAAGUUAAUAAUCCCAAUCAGAAGGAAUGUUUUCGUAUUUUAUUUUUUCAAAUUUUCAAUACAUCGGAGAAAAAUUAUAUUUAUUAACUUUUUGUGCAAUUCUAUCACGGAUUGAUGAAAAAAGAAAACGAAAUUGUUAAACUUUGUAAUAUCCGUAGGUAUACGAUUGCGUAAUGAUAUGCUUCUUCACGGAUGGAAACGUUGCGAUUAAGACUAAUACAUUAGAAUUGUAAGUACGUAAGCGACAGAAACAGACAAUUUUGCGAGAUUAAAAUAAUCCCGAAGUUUUUUGAAAAUAGUUCCCACUUUUACGUAAUACAAAGAAAGAUUUACAGAUGCCAUGGCCUUAAAAAACGUACAUCUAAAAAAGUUCUUAUAAUAUACAUACAUACAGCGCUAUUCGACAGAUAUAUCUUAACUGAUAUUAUGUAAUCGGUAUCAAUAUCUUGUCGACAGAAAGUUGACAAGAGAUGAAUUUUUCAUGCAGCUCAAAUGUCAUUCAAGGAAUUUUAGUAAAACGCAGUUUUAUUAACAGAUGUAUAUCAUUUUAUUGCUUUAAACCUCCAUCAUAUUCAAUGUAUCUUUUUUUUUUUCACUUCUCUAUGCCAUAUGUUAUCAAUAAUUUUAUUUCAAUUAAAUUUUAUGCUCCAUUAAAAAAUAUAUAUAUAUAUACAUAUAUUUUGAAUUUUGUAAAAAUACGAAGUACGAAAUUCAAUAAAUGUAUAUGCUAAUCUAAACAACACUAUUAAUAUUGUUACUACUAUUUGAUACAUUGAAAUCGAUGAAGGUUUAAAAAACGAUAAACAAGAAAUUAAGUUGCGAUUUCAUGGGUGAAACGCAUAAACGCAGCCUUACAUUGUAUUUUCAUAUAGUACAACACGCCAAUACGUGGAAAUAAUAAUCGAUAAGUUGAUCGUUUUUGUAUUCUCGGGUCUACUUGUUAUCGAUUGCGAUCGAGAUGGAUCGCCGUGUUUUCGAUACAUAGGACGUUCAGUGCUUCCGAACCGAACGAACUGUAUAUUCUUUGAUUCGAUGAUCACGUUCGCUGUUUAUCGAUAUUAGAGUGUCCAAGAGAGCAUCUUACGAUUUGCGCGAUAUAUAUUGAAAGGAUAAGGUUGAGACGACCGGAAAUAACAUGAGAGGCAAAGAAAAAUGAGAAAAAAAAAAGAAGCUGUAUUACGUGCAAGCGAGAAAGAGUAGUUAUCAGGAUAGAUAGUCAGAGUUUUGUAAGUGAAAAAGAGCAAAACAUCUAUUUUUCACGAGACGGCGAUCGUGAAAAUAUGUACAAUAAGUUCAAUUGUAAAUACGUCACGCGUAAAUAUCUUACUUAAGUAUAUAUAAUAUCGUUCAAAGAAACGGUAAAUCAUAAUAAUAAUUAUAAUAAUAUCAAUAUACUAGCCGUAAGGCCAAAAACUUUGCUCCUUAAAGAUACUUUUCUAAGUAGACAAAACAGAAAAAAAAAGCGCGCGUUUAAACGAGUCAUUGUUUUUUAGCUAAGUAAACUCGAUUUCCACGCUUUAACGUUAUAUAAAAAAAAAUACCGCAAAAAAAAAAAAACGAAAAAUGAUAGAUACUGGUAUUCAUAAUACCAGAAGGAUAAAAUAUUAAACAAGCAAGAUGACGAGACUUUUUUGUAUGAACUAAUUUUUUUCAUAUAAUUCGCGUUUAUUAGAUAUAAGAUGAUUGAUAUAAAUCGUUGAAUAUAAUACGUCGUCGCAAUACAUGAGAUGAUCAAACGAUAUAAAAGGAAAAGGAAAUAACUGAAGUCGAUAUAUUUAGAAAUGAGUAUAUGGAAAAUAUUAAUCGAAAUUAAAUUAAAACAACUCGAAUCCACGCAUCGAGAAUGAAAGAAGCAAUACAAUAUGUAUUGUAUUAAAUACGUGUGGAUUUACUUUAAUUAUUUUCCGUUUCACACGCUAAAAGAUGAAAAAGAAAUGAAAAAAAAAGAAACAAAGAACCGGUAAAUAACGUACUAAUAUAUUUAAAAAAUUUAUGUAUAUUUAAUGAACUUAUAGGAAUGAAGAAAGGGAGAUGUCUGCAUAGGAAUUGAAAAAAUAAAUUUUAUCUUUGGUGCAUAAAGGAAGUAUAAUUAAUAAUUAUUAAUGAUUAUUAUUUAAUCAUUAAAACAAAAAGAAACAGGAAAAAAAACAAUGGCCUAUAUUUAGAAAAGAAUCGUUCUUUUUUAAUUUUUUUUAUUUUUCUUAGGCGAAACCGACGGACUGUAUAGCGUAUAGACGUAAUAAAUUUAGCGAUCAAAAAGAGGACUCGAAUUCUAGAGAUGAGGAGAGAAGAAGACAACGCACUUAUGAUCAUUUUCUUUUUAAAUGUAAAACUCGCACUUGCACUCUACUUAUCUUUUUCUGCGUUCUAUGAUGUUCGCGCGGCGACAAUUGUAUUAUUCAAAUGUAUAAUAGACCACUUAGCCCAUAAACCGAUAUAAAAGAUAUUAAUUCGAUAAUUGGACUCGAUCAACGUUCUUGUCCAAGGUGAUGCAGCCAAGAUUAUUUUUAUUCCCUUGAAAAAACGCCGACCUAAACAUUGCAAUAGUAUAUUGAUCUCGAAAAAUUUCACGAUCAAUAGAAAUUUUUGUUAUUAUCAAUUUCUUUAAUAUUUAUUUAAAAAAGAAGACAAAAAUUUCUCAAUAGUUUUGUUUAAAACAUCUGUUGAACAAAAAUUCUGCUAGUUCGAAUAGUACAACGCAAUGCAGAAAUCAAAAAAAAUAAAUUGACUGUAUCGUCUUGCGCAUGCCUGUGUAUUAUAGUGAAACGCACGAAUUACCAUGUGUCAUAUAAAUAUAUACAUAUAAAUAUAAAAUAUAUAUAUAUAUAUAUAUAAUAACAAAAAAUAUAUAUAUAAAUAACUAACAAUAAUGAUAAUAAUUAAGUACCUUACAUAUAAGCAGUAUCCAAGAAAUCCGAACUAGUUGCACCAAGUGCCAUAGUCCAUAGGUCACAGUACGUUUAACAUAGCGAGGGUGAGACUAUUCGUAGCAGUUGCUAGGAAUGAAAGAAAAGAAAAAGUAUAAAAAAAAAUGGGGAAAAACCGAAAAAAACAUCCACAUAGAAUGAAUAAAAAAGGAAAGAAGAAAACGAAAAAAGAAAAAGCAGGUCGAACACGUGGCGUUCGACUACUAGCUAUGUCGUGUUCUUAUUGCUUAUUGUUAAGGCAAACGAGCGCGAAGCAGCAGCAAGCAAUCAGCUAAAAACACGCAAGGAAGAAAAAAAAAGUAAAGGGAGAAAGAGAAGGAAAGUUAUGUAGUCCGUGUGACCCGAGAUUUCCAAUGGGCCGGUUUCGCCCAUCUUUUGGAGAACGUUUUAGAGCAUAAAGCAGACACCAAUAUGACAAUAUACUAAUGAAAUUAAUUUCCGGCUCGGUUACUAUUACCCAUUGCCUCCACAUCCCCUUUAAAAGAACUUGGAAAAACGAAAAAAAAAAAAACAAAACACCGGACAUCCAUUAUUGUACAAUUUCGCCAUUUAUUUUUCGACACGUUAGUACAUGCGAUUAGACGUGGAUCCCGGCUCGCGUAAUCCAUGCGUUCCCCGACAAAAGAGAUAAAGAAUGCGAGAGAGAGAGAGAAAGAUCGAACGAGCGCGAGAGAGGGAGAGAAAGGAAAAGAAGAAACACAACUGUAAAACACAUUAUGGCCGUGAAUGAAUCGAAGCGAGAUGCGUGUGACCGUUCUUUUUUUUUCUUUUUGCGAGAACAUUAUCAAUUAUCUUAAAGGAAGAAAAAAAUGACAAAAAAAA